rnacentral:rRNA from 1 species
CCUACGGGAGGCAGCAGUGGGGAAUAUUGGGCAAUGGGCGAAAGCCUUACCCAGCAACGCCGCGUGAAUGAAGAAGGCCUUCGGGUUGUAAACUUCUUUUGACAGGGACGAGCAGAAGACGGUACCUGUCGAAUAAGCCACGGCUAACUACGGGCCAGCAGCCGCGGUAAUACGUAGGUGGCAAGCGUUGUCCGGAUUUGCUGGGGGUAAAGGGCGUGUAGCCGGGCUGACAAGUCUGAUGUGAAAUCCGGGGGCUCAACCCCCGAACUGCAUUUGAAACUGUUGGUCUUGAGUAUCGGAGAGGCAGGCGGAAUUCCUAGUGUAGCGGUGAAAUGCGUAGAUAUUAGGAGGAACACCAGUGGCGAAGGCGGCCUGCUGGACGACAACUGACGGUGAGGCGCGAAAGCGUGGGGAGCAAACAGGAUUAGAUACCCUUGUAGUC